AUGCUGGGGGCCCAACAUGUGAAACUGAGACCGUAUAGACACAAACCAGAACUCAAAGACGAGAUCGAGAAGCAGGUGCAAGAAUUGUUAAAGGUGGGUAUCAUUCAGCGCAGCCACAAUCCAUUUUCAUCGCCAGUUAUUUUGGUUAAGAAGAAAGAUAGAACAUGGCGUUUGUGUAUAGACUACAGACAACUCGAUGCUAUGACUGUACUGGGUAAAUACCCAAUACCCGUGAUCAAAGAACUGUUGGAUGAACUGCACGGAGCUAGAUGGUUUUCUAAACUUGACCUACGAGUUGGGUAUCAUCAGAUCCAUCUGGCCGAAGGCGAAGAAUUCAAGACGACAUUUCAAACUCACUCGGGGCACUCUGAGUUCAAGGUGUUGUCAUAUAGAUUGGCAGGAGGCCCGGGAACUUUCAAUGGGGCAAUAACGGACACCUUGCAUCCGCUGCAACGCGUGUGUGUACUGUCCUUUUUUGACAAUAUUCUGGUGUUCAGCAAAACAUUGCAAGACCAUGCAGAACACCUCAGACAAGUGUUUGAACUCCUGCGCAGAGACCAAUGGAAGGUUAAAAGGAGCAAAUGA
rnacentral:rRNA from 1 species